rnacentral:rRNA from 1 species
GACGAACGCUGGCGGCGUGCUUAACACAUGCAAGUCGAACGGUGAAGCGCCUUCCUUUUGGUGGGUGUGGAUAAGUGGCGAACGGGUGAGUAACACGUGAGUAACCUGCCCCCUUCUUCUGGAUAACCGCAUGAAAGUGUGGCUAAUACGGGAUAUUCUGGGUCUGUCGCAUGGCGGGUCUGGGAAAGAUGCGCCUUUGGGUGUUUUCGGUGGGGGAUGGGCUCGCGGCCUAUCAGCUUGUUGGUGGGGUGAUGGCCUACCAAGGCGGUGACGGGUAGCCGGCCUGAGAGGGUGGACGGUCACACUGGGACUGAGACACGGCCCAGACUCCUACGGGAGGCAGCAGUGGGGAAUAUUGCACAGUGGGCGCAAGCCUGAUGCAGCGACGCCGCGUGAGGGAUGGAGGCCUUCGGGUUGUAAACCUCUUUCGCCAGUGAAGCAGGCCUGCUCCUUGUGGGUGGGUUGACGGUAGCUGGAUAAGAAGCGCCGGCUAACUACGUGCCAGCAGCCGCGGUAAUACGUAGGGCGCGAGCGUUGUCCGGAAUUAUUGGGCGUAAAGAGCUCGUAGGCGGCUGGUCGCGUCUGUCGUGAAAUCCUCUGGCUUAACUGGGGGCUUGCGGUGGGUACGGGCCGGCUUGAGUGCGGUAGGGGAGACUGGAACUCCUGGUGUAGCGGUGGAAUGCGCAGAUAUCAGGAAGAACACCGGUGGCGAAGGCGGGUCUCUGGGCCGUUACUGACGCUGAGGAGCGAAAGCGUGGGGAGCGAACAGG